GAGCAGACCGCGUGAGGGAGGAAGGCUCUUGGGUUGUAAACCUCUUUUCUCAGGGAAUAAGUUCUGAAGGUACCUGAGGAAUAAGCAUCGGCUAACUCCGUGCCAGCAGCCGCGGUAAUACGGAGGAUGCAAGCGUUAUCCGGAAUCAUUGGGCGUAAAGCGUCCGCAGGUGGAGUGGUAAGUCUGUUGUCAAAGAACGGGGCUUAACCCCGUAAAGGCGAUGGAAACUGCCACACUAGAGGCUGGUAGGGGUAGAGGGAAUUCCCAGUGUAGCGGUGAAAUGCGUAGAGAUUGGGAAGAACACCAGUGGCGAAAGCGCUCUACUGGACCAGAACUGACACUCAGGGACGAAAGCUAGGGGAGCGAAAGGGAUUAGAUACCCCUGUAGUCCUAGCCGUAAACGAUGGAUACUAGGCGUAGCUCGUAUCGACCCGAGCUGUGCCGAAGCUAACGCGUUAAGUAUCCCGCCUGGGGAGUACGCACGCAAGUGUGAAACUCAAAGGAAUUGACGGGGGCCCGCACAAGCGGUGGAGUAUGUGGUUUAAUUCGAUGCAACGCGAAGAACCUUACCAGGGCUUGACAUCUGGCGAAUCUCGAUGAAAGUUGGGAGUGCCUUAGGGAACGCCAAGACAGGUGGUGCAUGGCUGUCGUCAGCUCGUGUCGUGAGAUGUUGAGUUAAGUCCCGCAACGAGCGCAACCCUCGUCCUUAGUUGCCAGCAUUAAGUUGGGAACUCUAGGGAGACUGCCGGUGACAAACCGGAGGAAGGUGGGGAUGACGUCAAGUCAGCAUGCCCCUUACGCCCUGGGCUACACACGUACUACAAUGGUCGGGACAACGGGCAGCAAGCAGGCAACUGUAAGCGAAUCUCAUCAAACCCGGCCUCAGUUCAGAUUGCAGGCUGCAACUCGCCUGCAUGAAGGAGGAAUCGCUAGUAAUCGCAGGUCAGAAUACUGCGGUGAAUCCGUUCCCGGGCCUUGUACACACCGCCCGUCACACCAUGGAGCUGGCCACGCCCGAAGUCGUUACUCCAACCUGCAAAGGAGGAGGAUGCCGAAGGCAGGGCUAGUGACUGGGGUGAAGUCGUAACAAGGUAGCCGUACCGGAAGGUG
rnacentral:rRNA from 1 species